rnacentral:rRNA from 1 species
CCCUUAGAUGUCCUGGGCCGCACGCGCGCUACACUGAACGGAUCAGCGCGUUUUCCCUUCCCGAGAGGGACAGGUAACCUGCUGAACCCCGUUCGUGGUAGGGAUCGGGGCUUGCAAUUAUUCCCCGUGAACCAGGAAUGCCCAGUAAGUGCAAGUCAUAAGCUUGCGUUGAUUACGUCCCUGCCCUUUGUACACACCGCCCGUCGCUACUACCGAUUGAACGUUUUAGUGAGGUACUCGGACUGAGCCUCAGAAGAUUCACGUCUUUUGUGCUGCUCGGGAAGAUUCCCAAACUUGAGCGUUUAGAGGAAGUAAAAGUCGUAACA